AGUGAACGCUGGCGGUAGGCCUAACACAUGCAAGUCGAACGGCAGCACAGUAAGAGCUUGCCCUUACGGGUGGCGAGUGGCGGACGGGUGAGGAAUACAUCGGAAUCUACUUUUUCGUGGGGGAUAACGUAGGGAAACUUACGCUAAUACCGCAUACGACCUACGGGUGAAAGCAGGGGAUCUUCGGACCUUGCGCGAUUGAAUGAGCCGAUGUCGGAUUAGCUAGUUGGCGGGGUAAAGGCCCACCAAGGCGACGAUCCGUAGCUGGUCUGAGAGGAUGAUCAGCAACACUGGAACUGAGACACGGUCCAGACUCCUACGGGAGGCAGCAGUGGGGAAUAUUGGACAAUGGGCGCAAGCCUGAUCCAGCCAUACCGCGUGGGUGAAGAAGGCCUUCGGGUGGUAAAGCCCUUUUGUUGGGAAAGAAAAGCAGCAGGUUAAUACCCCGCUGUUCUGACGGUACCAAAAGAAUAAGCACCGGCUAACUUCGU
rnacentral:rRNA from 1 species